GGCUGCCCAGAAAUCUGAGAGAAAAUAAGACAUGUAAAGUCCUGCUCACCCAUGAAAGUUUCUAAAUACAGGAGCUCUGAUUCUAAAAUCAUCUCCAUUUAUAUUGGUUUAUCUUUUUAAGACACUUUGUUGUUUCAGAGCUACCUUGCCAUGAAGAUUCAUUACCUUUUCUUUGCUCUUUUCUUCCUUGGCCAGCUGUCUACCUCAGGAACUGAAGAUGCUUAUGAAGUCAUUAGUAUCAUGGACUGUAAAAAUCAAACACUGUGUAAUUCUCAGAAUACAACUAGACACUGCUCUCAUGGGAAGGAGAUUGAACUAUGUGUCUUGCGUCUUGGAAAAAAUGCAAAGCGACUCACUAACCAUGAAGAAACAGCAAAUUAGGAAGACAGGAUGAUCAAUUUCCUUGUCUUAUUAAAAAAUAAAGUCUGCUUUCUUUUCUCUCUCCUUUUAUUCUCUAGUGACACAUUUAUUUAUUGACAGUUUGGACAAAAGUUUAUCAAGGAACUUUUCACGCUUAGGAUGAAUUACAACAAGAACCAACAUUUCUUUAGUUCCAGCAGCUCUAUGCAACUCAUUUUCAUCUAGCAUUACCUCUCCAAAACCUGAAUCUCCACAAGAAAGCCACACAGCAAUUAACCAGUGUUGCAAGAACUGCUUCUGUAAUAAAGGUGGGAAGACAAAUUGAUGCAACCCUCUUGAAAAGCAAUCUGGCAAUAUGAACCAAGAGCCAUGAAAAGGCUUAUGCUAUUAUAAUUAAAUGGCUGUAAUGUUGGCUGUAAAUAUGAAAUUUUCUUUCACACACCAAUGUUUUCAAGAAUGGCAUAUUCACAUGCAGUAUGUGAUGAAAGAAGCAGUAAAGGAUGCUAACAAAGCUAUUUCUUUGGACAAUCUGAACCUGACGGAGUCUUACUCUGUCGCCCAGGCAGGAGUGCAAUGGCACAAUCUUGGCUCACCACAACCUCCGCCUCCUGGGUUCAAGUGACUCUCCUGCCUGGCCAUAGAAGCAAACACAAACAUAGAGGAAUUGGCUUUGGGCAGAUGGAAGGACCUCAGAGAAAAGAAACAAAGGAAAGAAAACUGGAUGGAUAAAGGUUUGUAGAAAUACUAUUCACAGGAAGCAAAUAGGAAUUCCUUAUCGCUAAACAGACACUAAGUCAAUUGGUACUACCCAUUCUUAUUUAACAUGUGAGGAAACUGAAACCUGAAGAGGUCAUGGAAGUUCUGUGUGGCCACACCAAUGGUAGACAGCAGAACCAGAUUUCAAACCAGCUUUUUCUCCAGCAUUAUUCUUCAUGAGAAGAAUAAUUAAACUUAUUGUGUAAUAAAGUGUGUUUUUAAGGUAUAA
rnacentral:lncRNA from 1 species